rnacentral:lncRNA from 1 species
GGGAAAGUGAGAGUCUUCCUUGAUUGGGAGUUUGGAAGAAAAGUAAGGCAUUAUUUUAAUCCUCUUAUUCUUUCCUUUUUGAAAGGGAACCUGACUGCAGAGAGAACGUAUUGUUGAUUACUGUCAGCCCUGCAGAAGUUUACACACAGAAGCCUUGCCUGGUGGUGGAGGGCAGAGUGACCCAGCACUGCCUUGCAGGGGACCAGGCCCUGGGCCUCCUGAAGGUUCACUGAAAAAUCAACUCACAAAAGGCUGAUUAAGAGGAUAAAAGAUACCUAACUCAUAGAAAUGACCUGUAAUCAUGGCCUGGGUUAGGAACAAGGAUUUGGAGGAAGAAAGUGCCUUCAAAUCACCCUGCAAAUAGUGUUGUCUACUCAGCCACAGGAAGACAAGCCCUGGGGAUGCAUUCAGCAGGCAGCAGGUCCCGCGGGUUCUACAGCUUCAAAUUACUUGGAGCAAAUGAGGCUUUUCAGCUUUGCUUGCUCAAUGCCAAGCUCCACACUUUAGAAGGGGAUCCUUGUAUACCUGACUCACCACCCGAAGGAAAUGUCUUCAGAGAUGUUCACUGCCCCAGGUAGGGCCCAUGCUCCACGUAAGGCCAUCCGCUCCAGGUGUAAUCGUGCCAGGCUCCAUUGCCCAAUAUGUGGCAAGUCAAUACAUGGAGACACAAAGAAUUGUAGCAGAGAAAGAAGUUUAAUCAUCAGGGAUUCAAACAAGGAGUGCUCACCUUGGUUUACCUUCACAAAGGCAGCAUUUCCUUACUUUCAAGAAGCUUGAUGUCUAACCUGGCCUCUUCACCAUGGAUAAAACACACACAAAACGAGAACUCAGUAGAACAGUGGCAACCCUACUGAUUUUUAAAGGAUGCGGAUUUCAACAAAGAAUCUACCCUGUUCUUCCGUAGAAGAGCCCAGUGGGUGGAAUGAUGCCCCUCACUCAAGGUGAGGGCAGAGCUUGCAAGAGAACUGAUCAUUAAGUCCUGAAAAAGGCAGUGAGAACUUACAAGGGCAUGGUACGUUUUGUAAGAUCUCACAGAAGACCCAGGUCACUGAAAACUGGAAGAUGCAUUUGCAGUGUAGAAAGCAUUUUAGCUGGGUGAAACUGCACUAAUUAAGAUGCAUCAUGGGUAGAGGGGAAAUUAAAGAACCAGAAAAGAAACAAUUACUGUUUUAGAGACAUAAGUGUCUGCAUUCAAAUACCAACUCUACCAUUUAUCAUUUGUACUAACUUUGGAUGACUUUGAGAAUUUUUUUUUGUCUCAGGAUUCUUAUUUUUAAAAAUGCAGAGGCUAUUUGGUAUCAGCAUCAUAAUGGGAUGCAAAAUGAAACAGAAUAAUAAUUAUAAAAAAGUUUAGGACAAUUUAUGAAGAACUUGCAUGUACUUCUUCUCAUGUGGGAUGCUGUUGCAAUAUAUCCUUUUUUUUAAGGUAGAUUGAUCAAUUCAAAGCAUAAAAUAAACUGAUAAAAGUGGAUGGUACGGGCACAACUGUAGAUAAUCACUAACUUGCAAACAACAAUCUGGAAAGAAGAGGUGUUUUGUCCACCUUGCACACGUUAUAAGUUUCCUCUAAUCUGGCAACUUUAUUAUCCCCAACAUCUAUGGAAUAAGUCAAAUUCACGUAUUACAUAGACUCAGAGAAUCUCAAAGGGCAUAGAAUGCAUCCAAGGAUGCCAAUCUAACUCAUGCAACCAUAUGUUGAUGAUCUGGGGGAGGAAAGCUUAUAAGCAUUGCAAAUUGCUACCAGGCUAUUGCAGCUUCAACGGCAAUGUGGAGACUUAUUCUUCCCACAUUUUUGUUCCCUAAAGCAGAGUAUAUUUCAAACUUUUGAAUCUUUCAUUUCCAUUUCUCUACCACAAGAAGAUAUAAAGCCGCUCAGACACUUGCCGGUUAAAGUACUUGAGCUCCAGGAUAAAUACUUAGGAAUAGAGCCAGUCAGAUUUGUCUCCCAGCUUUUGUCCCUUUUCUCUUCUAGUGAGGAAAUUGCACCUCAUUAGCUUUGUGACUUUAGAAAGCCACUUCACCUUUCUAAAUCUCAGUUUCUUCAAUUGCAAAGUAGUAAUGAUAUUUAAAACACAUCACUGCUAUUAGGGUUGCACAGAGUAACCCUUAGCUUUUAAAUCACUUCCAGAGUGCCUGGUGCAUAAAUAGAAGCCAUAACUCUUAUUAUACCCUUUGCUCUUCACACUGUAUUGUUUAGCUUCCUUGUUUUAUAAAUUAUGGCAUUGUUUAUAUAAAAAUGAAAUGCUUAGAUAUUCAAGUUAAUGAGUUCUGACAAAUGUAUAUACCUGUAUACCCACUUCAUACAACAAGAUAUUGUUUCCAACAUUCCUGAAAGUUUUUUUGUGUACCCUUCCAGUAAGUUUCCCCACCUCCCAUUGAAAAUCAUUUCUAAACUCUAGCAGAUUUCUAGCUUAAUCUAGCAUCGAUUACUUUUGCCUGUUUGUAUGGUAUAUCAAUGAAAUUAUAUGACAUCUCAUCCUAUGCAUCUGCCAUGUUCACUCAAUUUAAUGUUUUUGAGAUUCAUCAUCCAUAUUGUUGCAUAUAUUAAGCUAGUAGAUUUCUGAUUGCUAAGUAUGAAUAUAUUACAAUAUAUUUAGCUAUUUUCCUGUUGAUUGACAUUUGGAUUAUUGCUAAUUUCAAGCUAUUAUUAAUAAAACUGCUAACAUUCUUUUCUUGCACAAGUUGUUUUGUUGAUAUAUGUUUCCUAUUUUUCUUUUUCUUUUUUUUUUUUCAGAGAAAGAGUCUCUCUCUGUUACCCAGGCUGGAGUGCAGUGAUGCAAUCAUAGCUCACUGCAACCUCAACUUCUUGGGUUCAAGUGAUCCUCCAGCUUCAGUCUUCUGAGUAGCUGAGAUUAUAGGUACUCACCACCCCACCUGGCUAAUUUUUAAAAAUUUUUUGCACGACAGAAUCUCGCUAUCUUGCCCAGGCUGGUCUCAAACUUCUGGCCUCUAGUGAUCAUCUGCCUUGGCCUCCCAAGUGCUGGGAUUAUAGGCACGAGCCACUGUGCCCAGCCUGUAUAUAUGUUUUUAUUAUUAUUCAGGGUAAAUAUUAUUAUUAUAUUAAAUUAAAUAUUACUCAGGGUAAAUGCCUAAGUGUUGAAUUUCUGGGUCAUAGAGUAGAUACAUGUUUAACAUUAUAUAUGCUAAAUCGUUCCCUGAAGUGGUUGUAUUAUUUUUCACUUCUGACAGCAAGGUAUAGGAAGCUCAGUUGCUGCACAUCUUUGCCAGCCUGUGCUAUUCUCAGUCUUUCUGUUAUAGCUGACCUAGUGUAUGUAAAGUGGUAUUUUAUUAUUGCUUAUUUUGAAUUUCCCUGACUGCAGUGAUUUUGAGCACCUUUUCUUGUGCUUACUGGUCACUGAGUUAGCUCCUUCUCACUAGGGUCUUUUUGAGACCUUAUCUAUUUUUUUUUUCAAAACUGGGUCUUUCUUUUAAUUAUUGAUUUACAGGAAAUUUUUAAAAUAUGUUAUGAGUAAGAGUGUUUUUUUAGAUAUAUAAUGAAUAUUUUCAGGCUGUGAUUUACCUUCUUAUUGUCAUAAUGAUAUGUUUUUAAGAGAAAAAAUUUUAAUUUUGACAUAAUUCAAUUUAUGUAGUUUUUUCUUUCAUUAUUAAGGCUUCUUUUUUUCUAAGAAAUCUGGCUAAACUCAGUGUGGAAAGAUAUUCCUUUAUGUUUCUUUAUGGAAGUUUUUUUUUUUUUAAUUCAAGCUUUUACAUUCAUGGCUCUGAUCCAUCUUGAAUUAGUUGUUACACACGGAGUGAGUAGGGUACAAUGUUCAGCUUUUUCCCAACAGAGUAUUCAGUUGUUCCAAUACAUUUUGUCUAUAAGGCUCCUUUUUGUUUUUGUUCUUUCAUAAAAAUUUAAGGGGUACAAGUGCAGUUUUGCUACAUGGAUAUAUUGUGUAGUGGUGAAGUCUGGGCUUUGGUGUACCCAUCACCUGGAUGAUGUACAUUGUACCCGUUAAGUAAUUUCUAUCCCUUGCCCCUCCCACCUUCCUACCCUUCUGAAUCUCCAGUGUCUGUUAUUCUACACUGUAUGUCCCCAUGCACGCAUUAUUUAGCUCCCACUUAUAAGUGAGAACAGGAGGUAUUUGGCUUUCUGUUUCUGAGUUGUUUCAUUUAAAAUAAUGGCCUCUAGUUCCACCCAUGAUGCUGCAAAAGACAUGAUUUAAUUCUUUUUAAUGGCCGAAUAGUAUUCCAUUGUAUACAUUUAUCACAUUUUCUUUAUGUAAUCACUUAGGUUGAUUCCAUGACUUUGCUGUUGUGAAUAGAGCUGUGAUAAACAUGUGAGUGCAGGUAUUUUUUUUUACAUAAUUUCUUUUCCUUUGGGUGGAUACUCGGAAGUGGAAUUGCUGGAUCAAAUGGAGGUUGCAGUUUUAGUUCUUUGAGAAAUCUCUAUACCAUUUUUCAGAGAGGUUGUACUAAUUUACAUUCCCACCAACAGUGUAUAAGCAUUCCCUGUUCUCUGCAUCCUCACUGAUAUCCAUUGUUUUUUGACUUCUUAGUAGUAACCAUUCUAACUGGUGUAAGAUGAUAUCUCAUUAUGAUUUUGAUUCACAUUUCCCUGAUGAUUAGUGAUGUUGAAUAUUUUUUUUCAUAUGCCUGUUAACUGUUUGCAUGGAAAAGACUCCUUGGCAACUUGGACAUAAAAUAAUUAUUGGUUAAUUUGCAGGUCUAUGUCUAGACCCUGCUCUUUUUCAUUGAUUUAUUUGGUUUGUCCUUAUACAAAUACUACAUUUCCUUGAUUGCUGUAGUUUUGUAGUAAAUCUUGUUUAAGGUCACUAAAAUAGGCCUAUCUCUUCUUUCCAACCUAUAUGGCUUUUUUUUUCUUGCCUUAUUAUCCUACCUAUGACUAUCAGCAUAAUGUUGAAUAAAAGCUAUGAGAGUUGGUGUCAUUACUGUUUUCUGGUUUCAUGUAAAAUAUAUCCAAUAUUUCACCAUAAGUUAUGAUGUUAACUAUUGGUUUUUCAUAGAUAUUAUGAUAGAUUAAAGAAGUUGCUUUUAUUCCUAGUUUUCUGAGAGUUUUAAAAAAUCAUGAAUAGGUAUCAAGUUUUGUCAUGUGCCUUUUCUGUAUCUAUCAAGUUACUCGUAAGAUUUUUUAUUCAGUUAAUGUAGUAAAAUAUGCUGAUUUGGAAUGUAAGUAAGCCUUACAUUCUUGAAUUAAGUGUCAUGCAAAUGAUAUGUUAUCCUUUUUAUGUAAGGCUGGAUGUGAUUUACUAAUUUUUGUUAAAGACUUAUACAUCUAUGCUCAUGACAGAUAUGGUCUAUAAUUUACCUCUUUGAUGUCUCAAGUUUGGAGUCAGGGUAUUGCUAGACUCAUAAAAUAAAUUGGUACAGAUUGACCUAAAUGGAACUCUGAAAAAUACUCACUAUAUAAUCUAAUUGCCAAGUCCAACCCCCAUUAUCAAAUUAAUGAGCAAAACGCAGAAUAAUUUUUGUCAGAAAAAUAUUCCUUUAUUUUUCAAUUCAAAUAAACAUUAUUGAUAUGCACUCCUUUGAUAACCGUCUUCUAAAUUAUAAUUCUAAGAUAGAUAGGUAAAUAAAUAGAUUUAGAUGAAGACACACACCUUUGUUGCUAUAAAAGUGACACACCCUUGCCUUCAAUAUUCCUUAUAGAUAUUUUCUUUGCUUUGCCCUCAAAGACUCAUCCUCAAUAGCAAUACAGUCUUUGACAAGACCAAAAGAGGGAAGACAUAAGGACACACGCAAAUAAAAGUUGUUAAAAUUCUGCUAUUCCAUUCAAUAAUAUAGCUGUACUCCAAGCAUUGACAACAUUUUAAACCUAAACCCGUCAUUUCUAAUACCACGAUUUGCUCUGAACAGAAAUAUGCAUAAUGUGUGGAAAGUCUAGAAGUCCAACCGGGAUGAUUCAACUUUAAAUAAAGAAGGCUACUGAGGCUAUUCAUACCA